rnacentral:lncRNA from 1 species
ACGAAUGUAAAAGUACUGUACUAUUAGAAAGGGAUACAUAUAAAUUGGCUUGAAAGUGCUCAUCUAGAGCAAAGACGGGAAAUACUCAUUGCAUCUGUAACAGAGCUGCUGUAAAAGCUCAGAAACGUAGAAUGUAAUUCAGGGGCCGCCAUUUUUAAUACAGCACAGCACAGCGUGAACUAAACUAGUACUAAUAGACGAUUAGUCGGACAUUAAUUAGUGCAUGCUUUGGCCUCAGCUGACUGAAGAAUGGAGAUCCAUGUAUCAUAUUACACACUCACACAUACAUAUAUAAAUGGGAGUCGUGAGUGAUUCAGGUAAAGGAGCAUUAUACGCUGGAGUAGUAUACUUUUAUCCCUGGAUGCUGGAGGCCACCAUGCAUCUUCAAUCCUGCGAUGGUUAAGAUAAGGAAAAGGAAACAUGAUAAUUAAGUCGUGUGUCGUGCUCUAUCACAAAAUCAUUUUCGAUACUGUAUUAUCCAUUCCAACGUACAAAAGGCCCCACGACUCAAAGUUUUCAUAAAUUCAACGGGCUUAUUAAUUUGCUUGACGACCCCAGCAGCAACGCUGUUGCAUAUUCUGCAUGGCAACAGCCUCACUUUUGUUGAGUAUUAUUGGGGUCAACCCCAGUAGCAGUAGCAGUAGGUUGCUGCAAUGCAAUCCUGCAUCAACGGGCUCAUCCUGUGGUUUAUAAUUUGCUCGAGGAGCUAGUCUUCCGCGAGAUCAUGCCCUCAUCAGCAAUUUCUGAAUCUGAUUGCUGAAUGAUUCAAUCAAGGACCACAUAAGUUUAGAAAAGGAACUCCAAAGGUCGAUGACACCGUCCCAUAAUAAUUCAAGACAAUAUUUUUAACUAUUUUUAAAACAUUAAAUGCAGUAGGGGAAAACAAAAAAGUGCUCAAGGGAGGAAUUAGCAGAUGGAGGGCGGUGGGGAGUGGGAUUAAUUGGCUUGGACGUUAAUGUUGG